rnacentral:rRNA from 1 species
CUGCUCCAUGAAAAUUUUAAAUAGCUGCAGUAUUUAUAACUGUACUAAGGUAGCAUAAUAAUUAGUUUUUUAAUUGAAAUCUAGAAUGAAAGAUUAAAUGAAAAAUAAACUGUUUCUUAUUUAAAAAAUUAAAUUAAAAUUUAAGUAAAAAUUCUUAAAUUAAAUAAAAAGACAAGAAGACCCUAUAGAAUUUUAUAAUUUAUUUUAAAAUUUUUAUUUAAUAAUAAAAAAAUUUAUAAAAUAUUUUAUUUAAUUGGGGAAAUUUUAAAAUUUAAAAAAUUUUUAAAUUUAAUAUACAUUAUUAAUGAAAUUAAAUAAUUUAAUUUAAAUAUAAUAAAAUAAAUUACCUUAGGGAUAACAGUAUAAUUUUAUUUUUUAGUUCUUAUAAAAAAUAAAUUUUAUAACCUCGAUGUUGAAUUAAAAAAAAAUAAAAAGAAAAAAAUUUAUAUUUUAAGUCUGUUCGACU